rnacentral:rRNA from 1 species
GAUGAACGCUGGCGGCGUGCCUAAUACAUGCAAGUCGAGCGAAUUGACAGAGGUGCUUGCACCUCUCGAUUUUAGCGGCGGACGGGUGAGUAACACGUGGGUAACCUACCUAUAAGACUGGGAUAACUUCGGGAAACCGGAGCUAAUACCGGAUAAUAUUUAGCUUCGCAUGAAGCAAUAGUGAAAGACGGUUCUGCUGUCACUUAUAGAUGGACCUGCGGUGUAUUAGCUAGUUGGUGAGGUAACGGCUCACCAAGGCAACGAUACAUAGCCGACCUGAGAGGGGGAUCGGCCACACUGGGACUGAGACACGGCCCAGACUCCUACGGGAGGCAGCAGUAGGGAAUCUUCCGCAACGGACGAAAGUCUGACGGAGCAACGCCGCGUGAGUGAAGAAGGUUUUCGGAUCGUAAAACUCUGUUGUAAGGGAAGAACAAGUACGUUAGUAACUGAACGCACCUUGACGGUACCUUACCAGAAAGCCACGGCUAACUACGUGCCAGCAGCCGCCGCCGUAA